UGAUAGCGAUGAAGCGUGAGGUUGCUGCCCACAUGGCAGGUUUUCCGUGGAGCGAAUGUCAAGUUAGGAAACUGACGACAA
rnacentral:ncRNA from 1 species